rnacentral:rRNA from 1 species
UUAAGUUAGAAAGGGCGCACGGUGGAUGCCUUGACACUAGGAGUCGAUGAAGGACGGGACUAACGCCGAUAUGCUUCGGGGAGCUGUAAGUAAGCUUUGAUCCGAAGAUUUCCGAAUGGGGAAACCCACCAUACGUAAUGGUAUGGUAUCCUUAUCUGAAUACAUAGGGUAAGGAAGACAGACCCAGGGAACUGAAACAUCUAAGUACCUGGAGGAAGAGAAAGCAAAUGCGAUUUCCUGAGUAGCGGCGAGCGAAACGGAACAUAGCCCAAACCAAGAGGCUUGCCUCUUGGGGUUGUAGGACAUUCUAUACGGAGUUACAAAGGAACGAGGUAGACGAAGCGACCUGGAAAGGUCCGUCGUAGAGGGUAACAACCCCGUAGUCGAAACUUCGUUCUCUCUUGAAUGUAUCCUGAGUACGGCGGAACACGUGAAAUUCCGUCGGAAUCUGGGAGGACCAUCUCCCAAGGCUAAAUACUCCCUAGUGAUCGAUAGUGAACCAGUACCGUGAGGGAAAGGUGAAAAGCACCCCGGAAGGGGAGUGAAAGAGAUCCUGAAACCGUGUGCCUACAAAUAGUCAGAGCCCGUUAACGGGUGAUGGCGUGCCUUUUGUAGAAUGAACCGGCGAGUUACGAUCCCGUGCGAGGUUAAGCUGAAGAGGCGGAGCCGCAGCGAAAGCGAGUCUGAAUAGGGCGUUUAGUACGUGGUCGUAGACCCGAAACCAGGUGAUCUACCCAUGUCCAGGGUGAAGUUCAGGUAACACUGAAUGGAGGCCCGAACCCACGCACGUUGAAAAGUGCGGGGAUGAGGUGUGGGUAGCGGAGAAAUUCCAAUCGAACCUGGAGAUAGCUGGUUCUCCCCGAAAUAGCUUUAGGGCUAGCCUUAAGUGUAAGAGUCUUGGAGGUAGAGCACUGAUUGGACUAGGGGUCCUCAUCGGAUUACCGAAUUCAGUCAAACUCCGAAUGCCAAUGACUUAUCCUUAGGAGUCAGACUGCGAGUGAUAAGAUCCGUAGUCAAAAGGGAAACAGCCCAGACCGCCAGCUAAGGUCCCAAAGUGUGUAUUAAGUGGAAAAGGAUGUGGAGUUGCUUAGACAACUAGGAUGUUGGCUUAGAAGCAGCCACCAUUUAAAGAGUGCGUAAUAGCUCACUAGUCGAGUGACUCUGCGCCGAAAAUGUACCGGGGCUAAAUACACCACCGAAGCUGCGGAUUGAUACCGAAUGGUAUCAGUGGUAGGGGAGCGUUCUAAGGACAGUGAAGUCAGACCGUAAGGACUGGUGGAGUGCUUAGAAGUGAGAAUGCCGGUAUGAGUAGCGAAAGACGGGUGAGAAUCCCGUCCACCGAAUGCCUAAGGUUUCCUGAGGAAGGCUCGUCCGCUCAGGGUUAGUCAGGACCUAAGCCGAGGCCGACAGGCGUAGGCGAUGGACAACAGGUUGAUAUUCCUGUACCACCUCUUUAUCGUUUGAGCAAUGGAGGGACGCAGAAGGAUAGAAGAAGCGUGCGAUUGGUUGUGCACGUCCAAGCAGUUAGGCUGAUAAGUAGGCAAAUCCGCUUAUCGUGUAUGCUGAGCUGUGAUGGGGAAGCUCCUUAUGGAGCGAAGUCUUUGAUUCCCCGCUGCCAAGAAAAGCUUCUAGCGAGAUAAAAGGUGCCUGUACCGCAAACCGACACAGGUAGGCGAGGAGAGAAUCCUAAGGUGUGCGAGAGAACUCUGGUUAAGGAACUCGGCAAAAUGACCCCGUAACUUCGGGAGAAGGGGUGCUUUCUUAACGGAAAGCCGCAGUGAAUAGGCCCAAGCGACUGUUUAGCAAAAACACAGCUCUCUGCGAAGCCGUAAGGCGAAGUAUAGGGGGUGACACCUGCCCGGUGCUGGAAGGUUAAGGAGAGGGGUUAGCGUAAGCGAAGCUCUGAACUGAAGCCCCAGUAAACGGCGGCCGUAACUAUAACGGUCCUAAGGUAGCGAAAUUCCUUGUCGGGUAAGUUCCGACCCGCACGAAAGGUGUAACGAUUUGGGCACUGUCUCAACCAGAGACUCGGUGAAAUUAUAGUACCUGUGAAGAUGCAGGUUACCCGCGACAGGACGGAAAGACCCCGUGGAGCUUUACUGUAGCCUGAUAUUGAAUUUUGGUACAGUUUGUACAGGAUAGGCGGGAGCCAUUGAAACCGGAGCGCUAGCUUCGGUGGAGGCGCUGGUGGGAUACCGCCCUGACUGUAUUGAAAUUCUAACCUACGGGUCUUAUCGACCCGGGAGACAGUGUCAGGUGGGCAGUUUGACUGGGGCGGUCGCCUCCUAAAGUGUAACGGAGGCGCCCAAAGGUUCCCUCAGAAUGGUUGGAAAUCAUUCGUAGAGUGCAAAGGCAUAAGGGAGCUUGACUGCGAGACCUACAAGUCGAGCAGGGACGAAAGUCGGGCUUAGUGAUCCGGUGGUUCCGCAUGGAAGGGCCAUCGCUCAACGGAUAAAAGCUACCCCGGGGAUAACAGGCUUAUCUCCCCCAAGAGUCCACAUCGACGGGGAGGUUUGGCACCUCGAUGUCGGCUCAUCGCAUCCUGGGGCUGUAGUCGGUCCCAAGGGUUGGGCUGUUCGCCCAUUAAAGCGGUACGCGAGCUGGGUUCAGAACGUCGUGAGACAGUUCGGUCCCUAUCCGUCGUGGGCGUAGGAAAUUUGAGAGGAGCUGUCCUUAGUACGAGAGGACCGGGAUGGACGCACCGCUGGUGUACCAGUUGUUCUGCCAAGGGCAUAGCUGGGUAGCUAUGUGCGGAAGGGAUAAGUGCUGAAAGCAUCUAAGCAUGAAGCCCCCCUCAAGAUGAGAUUUCCCAUAGCGUAAGCUAGUAAGAUCCCUGAAAGAUGAUCAGGUUGAUAGGUUCGAGGUGGAAGCAUGGUGACAUGUGGAGCUGACGAAUACUAAUAGAUCGAGGACUUAACCAU